rnacentral:misc_RNA from 1 species
AACGCAAAUUGCGCCUGAGGCCUCGGCCAAGGGCAUGUCUGCCUCAGCGUCGGCUUUACCCCUCGCCCCCCUUCCCUGGGUGGGCGGACCUGGCCUUCCCGGCUCCUCUGGCCUUUUGUGUCAGUGCCCGGGUUGGCUGAAGCUUAGAGGCUUGAGCAUAGACCCCGUUUGUAGGGCAAUGGCUUGGUAGGUAGGCACCCCCUACACACGCCUGCCGUUGUCCGAGGGGACUUUGCUGGUGGCCCCGCAAGAACCGGGUGUAGUGCUUCGGCAUUCCCCGGCCUCUUCACUCUUUCGACCUGAGCUCAGGCAAGAUUACCCGCUGAACUUAA